CGCUAGCUACAGGCUUAACACAUGCAAGUCGAGGGGCAGCAUGGUCUUAGCUUGCUAAGGCCGAUGGCGACCGGCGCACGGGUGAGUAACACGUAUCCAACCUGCCGUCUACUCUUGGACAGCCUUCUGAAAGGAAGAUUAAUACAAGAUGGCAUCAUGAGUCCGCAUGUUCACAUGAUUAAAGGUAUUCCGGUAGACGAUGGGGAUGCGUUCCAUUAGAUAGUAGGCGGGGUAACGGCCCACCUAGUCUUCGAUGGAUAGGGGUUCUGAGAGGAAGGUCCCCCACAUUGGAACUGAGACACGGUCCAAACUCCUACGGGAGGCAGCAGUGAGGAAUAUUGGUCAAUGGGCGAGAGCCUGAACCAGCCAAGUAGCGUGAAGGAUGACUGCCCUAUGGGUUGUAAACUUCUUUUAUAAAGGAAUAAAGUCGGGUAUGCAUACCCGUUUGCAUGUACUUUAUGAAUAAGGAUCGGCUAACUCCGUGCCAGCAGCCGCGGUAAUACGGAGGAUCCGAGCGUUAUCCGGAUUUAUUGGGUUUAAAGGGAGCGUAGAUGGAUGUUUAAGUCAGUUGUGAAAGUUUGCGGCUCAACCGUAAAAUUGCAGUUGAUACUGGAUAUCUUGAGUGCAGUUGAGGCAGGCGGAAUUCGUGGUGUAGCGGUGAAAUGCUUAGAUAUCACGAAGAACUCCGAUUGCGAAGGCAGCCUGCUAAGCUGCAACUGACAUUGAGGCUCGAAAGUGUGGGUAUCAAACAGGAUUAGAUACCCUGGUAGUCCACACGGUAAACGAUGAAUACUCGCUGUUUGCGAUAUACAGCAAGCGGCCAAGCGAAAGCGUUAAGUAUUCCACCUGGGGAGUACGCCGGCAACGGUGAAACUCAAAGGAAUUGACGGGGGCCCGCACAAGCGGAGGAACAUGUGGUUUAAUUCGAUGAUACGCGAGGAACCUUACCCGGGCUUAAAUUGCAGAUGAAUUACGGUGAAAGCCGUAAGCCGCAAGGCAUCUGUGAAGGUGCUGCAUGGUUGUCGUCAGCUCGUGCCGUGAGGUGUCGGCUUAAGUGCCAUAACGAGCGCAACCCUUGUUGUCAGUUACUAACAGGUUCCGCUGAGGACUCUGACAAGACUGCCAUCGUAAGAUGUGAGGAAGGUGGGGAUGACGUCAAAUCAGCACGGCCCUUACGUCCGGGGCUACACACGUGUUACAAUGGGGGGUACAGAGGGCCGCUACCACGCGAGUGGAUGCCAAUCCCAAAAACCUCUCUCAGUUCGGACUGGAGUCUGCAACCCGACUCCACGAAGCUGGAUUCGCUAGUAAUCGCGCAUCAGCCACGGCGCGGUGAAUACGUUCCCGGGCCUUGUACACACCGCCCGUCAAGCCAUGGGAGCCGGGGGUACCUGAAGUGCGUAACCGCGAGGAGCGCCCUAGGGUAAAACUGGUGACUG
rnacentral:rRNA from 1 species